rnacentral:rRNA from 1 species
CACGUAGGGUGCGAGCGUUGUCCGGAAUUACUGGGCGUAAAGCGUGCGCAGGCGGUGAUGUAAGACCGAUGUGAAAUCCCCGGGCUUAACCUGGGAACUGCAUUGGUGACUGCAUUGCUGGAGUAUGGCAGAGGGGGGUGGAAUUCCACGUGUAGCAGGUGAAAUGCGUAGAGAUGUGGAGGAACACCGAUGGCGAAGGCAGCCCCCUGGGCCAAUACUGACGCUCAUGCACGAAAGCGUGGGGAGCGAACAG